rnacentral:rRNA from 1 species
CCUACGGGUGGCAGCAGUGGGGAAUAUUGCACAAUGGGGGAGACCCUGAUGCAGCAAAGCCGCGUGAAGGAAGACGGUUUUCGGAUUGUAAACUUCUGUUCUUAGUGAAGAAGAAUGACGGAAGCGAAGGAGCAAGCAACGGCCAACUACGUGAGAGCAGCCGCGGUAAUACGUAGGUGGCAAGCGUUGUCCGGAAUUGCUGGGUGUAAAGGGAGCGCAGGGGGGAAGCCAAGUCAGCUGUGAAAAUUACGGGCUUAACGUGUAGACUGCAGUUGAAACUGGUUUUCUUGAGUGAAGUAGAGGUUGGCGGAAUUCCGGGUGUAGCGGUGAAAUGCGUAGAUAUGCGGAGGAACACCGGUGGCGAAGGCGGCCAACUGGGCUUUAACUGACGCUGAGGCUCGAAAGUGUGGGGAGCAAACAGGAUUAGAUACCCGAGUAGUC